rnacentral:rRNA from 1 species
UGUUUAAGGUCGUAGGCUGGUGUCUUAGGUAAAUCCGGGAUGCUAAGGCUGAGAACUGAUGACGAGUGUUCCUCGGAACAUGAAGUGCUUGAUGCCAUGCUUCCAAGAAAAGCCUCUAAGCUUCAGGUAAAAAGAGACCGUACUCCAAACCGACACAGGUGAUCAGGUAGAGAAUACCAAGGCGCUUGAGAGAACUCGGGUGAAGGAACUAGGCAAAAUGGCACCGUAACUUCGGGAGAAGGUGCACCGCUUUUGGUGAUGGGAUUUACUCCCUAAGCUGAGGGCGGUCGAAGAUACCAGGCCCCUGCAACUGUUUAUUAAAACCACAGCACUCUGCAAACACGUAAGUGGACGUAUAGGGUGUGACGCCUGCCCGGUGCCGGAAGGUUAAUUGAUGGGGUUAGCGCAAGCGAAGCUCUUGAUCGAAGCCCCGGUAAACGGCGGCCGUAACAAUAACGGUCCUAAGGUAGCGAAAUUCCUUGUCGGGUAAGUUCCGACCUGCACGAAUGGCGUAAUGAUGGGGGCGCUGUCUCCGCCCGAGACUCAGUGAAAUUGAAAUCGCGGUUAAGAUGCCGUGUUCCCGCGGCUAGACGGAAAGACCCCGUGAACCUUUACUAUAGCUUUGCACUGAACUUUGAACCUAUCUGUGUAGGAUAGGUGGGAGGCUUUGAAGUUGGGACGCUAGUCCUAAUGGAGCCGUCCUUGAAAUACCACCCUGGUAUGUUUGAGGUUCUAACGUAGACCCCUAAUCGGGGUUGCGGACAGUGUAUGGUGGGUAGUUUGACUGGGGCGGUCUCCUCCCAAAGAGUAACGGAGGAGCACGAAGGUGUGCUAAUCAUGUUCGGAAAUCAUGAGGUUAGUGUAAAGGCAAAAGCACGCUUGACUGCGAGACAGACAUGUCGAGCAGGUACGAAAGUAGGUCUUAGUGAUCCGGUGGUUCUGUAUGGAAGGGCCAUCGCUCAACGGAUAAAAGGUACUCCGGGGAUAACAGGCUGAUACCGCCCAAGAGUUCACAUCGACGGCGGUGUUUGGCACCUCGAUGUCGGCUCAUCACAUCCUGGGGCUGAAGCCGGUCCCAAGGGUAUGGCUGUUCGCCAUUUAAAGUGGUACGCGAGCUGGGUUUAGAACGUCGUGAGACAGUUCGGUCCCUAUCUGCCGUGGGCGUUGGAGAUUUGAGAAGAGUUGUUCCUAGUACGAGAGGACCGGAAUGAACGAACCUCUGGUGUUCGGGUUGUCAUGCCAAUGGCACUGCCCGGUAGCUAUGUUCGGACGGGAUAACCGCUGAAAGCAUCUAAGCGGGAAGCCUCCUUCAAGAUGAGAUCUCCCUGGGACUUUAAGUCCCCUAAAGAGCCGUUGAAGACUACGACGUUGAUAGGUUGGGUGUGGAAGCGCAGCGAUGCGUUGAGCUAACCAAUACUAAUUGCUCGUGCGGCUUGAUC